CGUCUCUGGGGUAAUGUCAUGGUUAAGGACAGAUCAGGUCUGUCAGGCUAGCUGGGCAGCCCGUCUCUGGGGUAACGUCAUGGUUAAGGACAGAUCAGGUCUGUCAGGCUAGCUGGGCAGCCCGUCUCUGGGGUAACGUCAUGGUUAAGGACAGAUCAGGUCUGUCAGGCUAGCUGGGCAGCCCGUCUCUGGGGUAACGUCAUGGUUAAGGACAGAUCAGGUCUGUCAGGCUAGCUGGGCAGCCCGUCUCUGGGGUAAUGUCAUGGUUAAGGACAGAUCAGGUCUGUCAGGCUAGCUGGGCAGCCCGUCUCUGGGGUAAUGUCAUGGUUAAGGACAGAUCAGGUCUGUCAGGCUAGCUGGGCAGCCCGUCUCUGGGGUAACGUCAUGGUUAAGGACAGAUCAGGUCUGUCAGGCUAGCUGGGCAGCCCGUCUCUGGGGUAACGUCAUGGUUAAGGACAGAUCAGGUCUGUCAGGCUAGCUGGGCAGCCCGUCUCUGGGGUAAUGUCAUGGUUAAGGACAGAUCAGGUCUGUCAGGCUAGCUGGGCAGCCCGUCUCUGGGGUAACGUCAUGGUUAAGGACAGAUCAGGUCUGUCAGGCUAGCUGGGCAGCCCGUCUCUGGGGUAACGUCAUGGUUAAGGACAGAUCAGGUCUGUCAGGCUAGCUGGGCAGCCCGUCUCUGGGGUAACGUCAUGGUUAAGGACAGAUCAGGUCUGUCAGGCUAGCUGGGCAGCCCGUCUCUGGGGUAACGUCAUGGUUAAGGACAGAUCAGGUCUGUCAGGCUAGCUGGGCAGCCCGUCUCUGGGGUAACGUCAUGGUUAAGGACAGAUCAGGUCUGUCAGGCUGCAGUGUUGUUCUUCUUAUAAGUCUGAUCUGAAGAAAUCCAGCACUAACUGACAUAUUGUACAGUAGAGAGGGCAGAGGUUAGGGGAGAACAUGGAGGGACUUAUGACCGUCCUGGGUAAUGUCAUGGUCACCCAAACCCCCGGCUGCCAGGGACUGUCUGUCAGUACUGUUUUAUGUGACACAUAAACACAUUUUGCUUUGAAGUGAUCUGAAGGUGAAAGUUAGGGUUAGGAACGAUCCCGGUUUGGCCUGGAAUUUCCAAAUACAAAUCAAGUCAAAUUGUAUUUGUCCGAUUCUUUGUAAACAACAGGUGUAGUCUAACAGCGAAAUACUUAGUUACGGGUCCUCUUCCAACAAUGCAGAAUUAAAGAUUCAUUAAAGAUUCCAUAAAAAAAAAAGAAGAUAUGUUGAACAUCUUCCCGUAAGUGAACAUUAAAUGUCUGAGUAGUGUACAGUUUCAUAUGCUACUGUAUAUCCAGUGCUGUAUCAACUGAACAACACAGUGGUUGAUAUAUUCCAUAGGUUGACCCAUGAUGCUGAUUCCCAUUACAUCUGGUGUCGUAGCUAUUAGGGAACAGUGUUGACACCCUCUUCAUUCACUUACUUUGUUGGCCAUUAGUCAGUCAGACGAGAGGCCAAUGGUUUUUACCUCAGAGCUGAGUGCUGCCCCUGGGUGUAAGUCACACCACUCUGAGAGGGAAAGAGAGAGGGGAAGCAGGGAGGAGGUGGGGGGAGAGGAGCAGCGGGGGUUGCUGUACUUGGCAAUCCAGAGGGAUUAGUGACAAAGAUGACUGGGAUGUCUGGGUCUUUGUGUGUGUGUGUGCUAUGUAUGUCUGUACCUGGUCAGCUGACAUGUUCCCAAAUCCAAGCGAGAAAGCUCUCAUUAUCAUUGUCACGCUGUCACGGCGACUGUGUCGCUUCACCAGGGAUCUAUUUAUAGCAGAGCCACUGAGGUGGAGGGAUACGCUCUAAGAGUGGAGGAAUACAUCACAUUCUGCAGCUGAGUGUGAGUGAUAAUGUUGAAGUGCUUUGACAUUAGAGAGGAAAUAGUUCCCCACAGUCUAGUCCAGGUCUACAGUCUGUGGUUGAAGUAGGGUCAAAUAUUUUCAUUGACCUUAAAAGUCUUCCAAAAAGAGGGAAGAAUGGACUGCAUUUCUGUAUGAUCAUUUCUCAGAUCAUUGUGCUGUUUUCUUAAAAGCGGACAUGUUUUUUCACAUUUGUAAUUUUAGAUAAGAGCAUAGCUGUAAUUUAUUAUUUUAAUCAGACUUUUACUAGUGUAAAUAAUACAUGAAGUACAGUGAAAUAUUACACGAAUCCUAUGAUGUUUUAACAGUAAUAAACAUACUGAUGCAUUUUUCUUAUUUCUCUU